rnacentral:misc_RNA from 1 species
GUGUUCGCCCCUGCCUUGGAAGGAAUUCAGCAUGUCAAAUCUGAAGCCGGGGAGAUUUUGACCAAGCCUUUCUUGGAAGCGUGCAAACAUAUUCUGCCUGUUAUUGACAAGUUUGGAGCUGCUAUGGCACUUGUUAAAACCGACAUUGGAGGCAACAUAUCGAGAUUGGAGUCCAAGUAUUCUAGCAACCCAUCUGGAUUCAACUACUUGUAUAACUUGGUGAAACCUGAGAUUGAAACUAAAACUGCAAAAGGAUCAUCUAGUUGCACAAAUGGACUUCUUUGGUUGACAAGAGCAAUGGACUUCUUGGUAGAACUGUUUCGCAACUUACUGGAGCAUCAGGAUUGGACAAUGUCUCGUGCUUGUACAGAAGCCUAUGGCAAGACCUUGAAAAAGUGGCAUGGAUGGCUGGCCAGUUCAAGUUUCACUGUUG